GGGGUGUGCUCAGAGCAGGUGGCNNNNNGGCUUCUCUGUUCACAACACAUCCAACAGGAAUCUAGGGUCACUGUGAGAGGGACACACAACUUAUGACUUCCCUCUGAGCAAAUGUCCUACACGU
ensembl:snoRNA